ACAAACCAAACGCUGGAUCAUGACAUUUGCAAUAUUAGCAAACGUUUACCGCUAUAGAAUUUGCUCUAUCAGCUCUAUGUAACUGUUUUUUUUUUUUUUUUUUAAUUGAAUAAUUAUAGUAUAAUAUAGUAUAAUUCGUUGGAAGAAAUUUUUAUCCAGUAUUUUAAUAUAUUAUAAAUCAAUCCUAAACACUGAUUUUAUUCUUUAAUUGUGUUUUGUUUUAAGUAUUUUAACGAGAUGGAGGAGCUAAAGAUCAGAACUGUGAUGUAUACCGACAAAUCUCAAAGUCCAAUAAGAUGAUCAAUUCUCUACUCAAUAUUGUAAGAAUUAACAAUAAGUUCUGAAUGAGACGUAGCAUAUCAACAUUUGUGUACACAUUAAUGAUGCAAUACGUAAUAAACUCACAAUGGAAACGUAUAUAAUACAGGUUCUAAAUUAUACUAUGAUACGGUUUAAUAAUCUACCUCAAAUAACAUAUCAUUACACUAAAAUGUUUCAUCAUACCUAAAGCAGUGGGUAUAAUCCAACAGUGGUCAGAAUCUCUUGGCGUUCAUUAAAGUGUAUAGAACUACUGUUACAAUGCCAUAAUGGACAACAAAAUAUAACGAUUCAAAAAUAAGAAUUAUUAUUUAUAAUUUUUAAUAUAUUACAGGAUUAGAUUGAUUCACAAUGUCAUAUCACUGCACAUAAUAUGUGUAAUGCAAAAUGAUGAUGAUAAUAAUAAUAUUAUUAUUACAUAUGCCAACAUAUUAUAUGUAAUGAAACGGCAUAAACUAUUUAUAAUUAUUUACAUUACUAAACAAUUUAUCGGUCGAAAUGUAGGUACUUAUGAUGUCUAGCUCCGACCUAUGCUAAGACAAGUUAGAUACUUAGAUGUAAUUACUGCAAUUCUUACAAAUAACAACACGUGGUUCAAUACAAUAUAA